CCCAUCCCUACCCCCAGUCCCCCCGCAGGAAGUGAGCCCAGCCUUCCCUUGACCGAGCCCCCUACCCCUAACUACCAUUCACGCUUGGACAGUUGUAGCGGGGGCGAAGAGGAGCUGCUAACCCCCUGGUGGGUGGGGGAGAGGGUCAGUGGGAAAAGAGCCCCGGGACAACCACCCGCACCCCUACAGGAGUCAAAGGGAAGAGAAGGAAGACAGUUAAUUCUGGGACAAGCAAAAAGAACGGUUUUGGAGUCACGGGGGCGUUCCUGCACAAAGGACUUGGAUGUUGUGUUUUGUCUUCUUUUCUGGCGUUUUUCGUUCCCAGCUUUGAAGUCGGGUUCAGACCUCCUGGAGACCAUGGACUGAGCGGAGGGGUGGGGGUAGCAGAACCCGGAAGCCGCGCUGGCCCCUCCUCAAUCGCUCCCACACUCUCACAUGCCCAAGGCCAGUCUGUGUGGACACCGAACGCGCCAAGCCGGAUCCAGGCGAGAGCGGCCACUCGGACAGGUGGGGACCAGGGGUGGGAGAGGGUCCCCUAGGCCUGAGAACACCGACCUCGGGGAAUCUUUUGGGGAGUGGGAGGGAGCCAUAUAGGGAGAAAAGCAAAAUAAAAAAUAUAAGAAAAUUCAGGCGUAGACAUUGAAUUAACUCCGGAUUUUUUCUUUUUUUCGGAGAAAGGGAAAGGGGUUAAACCCAAAUUCGGGUCUGGGUUCUGGGGUUUGGGUAGGAUUCAGUGUAAGCAUAAAAAGCGGGAUGUCAGAUUAAAGUGAAGAAAAAUAAAUAGGGAAUUGUAUGUAGUCCUCUUGCUUCCCGGAGCAGCGAAGUCUAAAAUUCUCAGCUCCAGAGGCC
ensembl:lincRNA